GAAACCCGGACGCCAGUUCGGGUGGAGCCAACCUUGAAAUACCAGCCUGGCAUCAUUGGCGUUCUCACUCAGGUCCGUGAUCCGGAUCGAGGACAGUGUGUGGUGGGUAGUUUGACUGGGGCGGUCUCCUCCCAAAGAGUAACGGAGGAGCACGAAGGUACCCUCAGCACGGUCGGACAUCGUGCAAUGAGUGCAAGAGCAUAAGGGUGCUUGACUGCGAGACAGACACGUCGAGCAGGUGCGAAAGCAGGUUCUAGUGAUCCGGUGGUUCUGUAUGGAAGGGCCAUCGCUCAACGGAUAAAAGGUACUCCGGGGAUAACAGGCUGAUACCGCCCAAGAGUUCACAUCGACGGCGGUGUUUGGCACCUCGAUGUCGGCUCAUCACAUCCUGGGGCUGAAGUCGGUCCCAAGGGUAUGGCUGUUCGCCAUUUAAAGUGGUACGCGAGCUGGGUUUAGAACGUCGUGAGACAGUUCGGUCCCUAUCUGCCGUGGGCGUUGGAUGUUUGAGAAGAGCUGCUCCUAGUACGAGAGGACCGGAGUGGACGACCCUCUGGUGUUCCGGUUGUCACGCCAGUGGCAUUGCCGGGUAGCUAUGGUCGGACGGGAUAACCGCUGAAAGCAUCUAAGCGGGAAGCCCCCUUCAAGAUGAGACAUCCCUGAGACCUCGAGUCUCCUAAAGGGCCCAGCGAGACCAGCUGGUUGAUAGGCACGGUGUGGAAGCGCUGCAAGGCGUUGAGCUAACGUGUACUAAUGGCCCGUGAGGCUUGACCCU
rnacentral:rRNA from 1 species